UACGUAGGGCGCAAGCGUUGUCCGGAAUUAUUGGGCGUAAAGAGCUCGUAGGCGGCCAGUUGCGUCCGCUGUGAAAUCCCGGGGCUUAACCCCGGGCGUGCAGUGGAUACGGGCUGGCUGGAGGCAGGCAGGGGAGAACGGAAUUCCUGGUGUAGCGGUGAAAUGCGCAGAUAUCAGGAGGAACACCGGUGGCGAAAGCGGCUUCCUGGUCCGACACCGACGUUCAGGCACGAAAGCGUGGGGAGCAAACAGG
rnacentral:rRNA from 1 species